GGGUCGUUAGCUCAGUUGGUAGAGCAGCGGACUCUUAAUCCGUUAGUCAAAGGUUCGAGCCCUUUACGACCCA
rnacentral:tRNA from 1 species